ACAUACUAAAGUAGAUUAUCAAAGCAUGGAAGUUAACAUUUAAUUUUAUAGACACAUUUGUCCCAUCAAAGAAUUUAGAAAAACAGCAGGUCAGGAACAUGCUUUUCGAAUUCCCGAAGUAAUCGGCGACUUAGUACAUAUAUUUUAAAAUACAAAUUUCGAUGCAUGAGGAUGAGGAUGUGAGGAGGAAACGGAACGUAAUGGUGAUGGGGUCAGGGGGGAGGGCGCCGGCUACUGACCGCCAGAUGACAGGCGAAAAUACUAAGAGGAGAGUGGCAGCGGAAGCGAGAGAGAGCGAAAGAUGAGCGGAGAAAAAUGGCAGGUAAACGAAAACAGAGCUGAAAAGUGCACAAGUAAAAUAGAAAACAAAAAUAAACAACAACAAUCCAGGAGACAAAUCGACGGUAGCAAGUCUUCUUGUUUGCCAUUUAUUUUCUCUUGAAGUGUGUAAAAACGCAGCAGCAGCAAUAUGAAAAGCCUCUCCGAAGGUUAGGAGUGCAUUAGGUCACUGAAGCGAUGCGAUGUCUGUGAUGUAAGCCGUGCUCCUCCUUUGGCUCUCUCUCAUUUUUGAUAACAACAUGCAAGAGGUUAUCAGAAACGGCACAAACCACAGCAACAACAACUAAAGAGGGCGGCCGCGUGGUUGUAAUUUAAUACACAUGCAGAAGGCACGCACACUUACACACGUGGAGCCGCCAACAAGCGGCGCUUAUAACCACAAAAUGGCCACGGGAUAUAUUUGCAAAACAUUUAAAAAAUUGCAAAUGCGGAGAACAAAAAAUCGCAACAAAAGCAAAGGCAAAUGCGGUUGAAGCUAAUUUGCGAAUUCAACGGGCGGGGUGCGGAAUUGUGGGCGGAGCAGCACCGCAUGGCGAUUUGGCUGGGAUCGGGGAUCUUUUUCGCCAUAUUGCGACUCUCACCUUCUCUCGUUUUAGCCUGGCUGCGGUUUUCCAGAACCGGGAAGUCCGUCGGCAAGGCCGUGGAAUACCGUGACAAGCAGCGCAAGACUUUGUCUUAAGACGAAAUUCGCGAUCCGUUGUUUGCGGUCCCCCGUUUUCCUUCCUCACGCACACACUCAAAAUUUCUUCGGCUGCUGCAGCUUCUUUUCCGCGUAUCCAGGGCUGCUCGACACAGCUGGCGAUGAAAUCCCUGUGAUUUUCACGGCUGCGUUAUUAUGGCCGCUUCCAGGGACUUUCCUUUUGGAUUUCCUGCAGUUUUUUCGCGAAUUAAAGCCGAAAGAUGACUUAUUGACGAGCGGAUGACCAUAUUUCGGAUUUGGGAAAAAUCCAGCUGUGCUGCAAACGAAAAAUACCAGCUGUG
ensembl:ncRNA asRNA:CR44911 antisense RNA:CR44911